rnacentral:misc_RNA from 1 species
UCUCCGUUGGUGAACCAGCGGAGGGAUCAUUAAAGAGUUGCAAAACUCCCAAACCAUUGUGAACUUACCUUCAACGUUGCUUCGGCGGGUUGGCUCCGGGUCUCCCGGGGCCCCCGGCCCUCACGGGCGCCCGCCGGAGGUAUCUAACUCUUGAAAUUGUAUGGCCUCUCCGAGUGAUUUAUAAAUAAGUCAAAACUUUCAACAACGGAUCUCUUGGUUCUG